GAAAAAGAAGGACAAAGCAUCCAAGGGGGUGAAGGAAUCAGAGGAUCAGCCCAACAAUGUAGAUGGCACUACUGGACCCGAGGAAACUGGAGGAGCUGGACCAGUAGAAGAUGUGUCAACAGUGGAUAUGAAGGAGAGGCUGAAGAGGGUGGCUUCGGCAAAGAAAAAGAAAUCCGGGAAAGAGACGGAUGCUGCUGCAAGAGCAGCCGCAAUAGAGGCUGCUGCACGGAAUUCCAAGCUUGCUGCAGCAAAGAAGAAAGAGAAGAGCCAUUACAACCAGCAGCCGACGCGAUAAAUUCUACCACAGCUUGGAAUGAUUAGCAUCAAUGGUCCGAGUUCCAAACAGUUUGGUACACAAAAUCGUGUUUUGGCUGAUGUAGAAUAAGAUUAGGGCUCUAGGUUCGGUCAUUGGGACACAAAAAAACUAUGGACUAGUUCUCGGAGCUUGUCUUAAAAAAAGUAAAGAGAAAUGAGGAAAAAAGUGACUGGCUGGACAAUUUUACUGUAUGAGAAUGGUAUUUGGAGAUGUAGAGAGUAGCUUAUGUGUAAAAGUUGCAUAUUGGUGCUAGUACCUGUUGAACUAAGGUUUUUUGGUGAAUGAG
rnacentral:misc_RNA from 1 species